rnacentral:misc_RNA from 1 species
GAUGAAGAACGCAUCGAAAUGCGAUAAGUAGUGUGAAUUGCAGAAUUCAGUGAAUCAUCGAAUCUUUGAACGCACAUUGCGCCCCUUGGUACUCCAUGGGGCAUGCCUGUUCGAGCGUCAUUUACACCCUCAAGCUCAGCUUGGUGUUGGGCGUCUGUCCCGCUUCGUGCGCGGACUCGCCUCAAAUGCAUUGGCAGCGGUCUUGCCAGCUUCUCGCGCAGCACAUUGCGCUUCUAGAGGCUUUGGCGGAUCGGCGUCCAUCAAGUACACCCACAGUUUGACCUCGGAUCAGGUAGGGAUACCCGCUGAACUUAAGCAUAUCAAUAAGCGGAGGA